GGGAGUUGUAGUGAGGUAUGAUUGUGGGCGCAGGUGUGUUACGGGAGUUGGAGUGAGGAUAGGUAGUGGGUGCAGGUGAAUUAUGGGAGUUGGCGUGAGGGAUGAUAGUGGGUGCAGGUGAACUACGGGAGUUGGAGUGAGGGCCGAUAAUGGGUGCAGGUGAAUCAUGGGAGUUGGAGUGAAGACUGAUAGUGGGUGCAGGUGAAUUAUGUGAGUUGGAUUGAGGUCUGAUAGUAGGUGCAGGUGCAUGAUGGGAGAUGGUGUGAGGGCUGAUAGUGGGUAAAGGUGAGUUACGGGAGUUGGGGUGAGGGAUGAUAGUGGGAGCAGGUGGAUUAUGGGAGUUGGAGUGAGGGCUAAUAGUGGGUGCAGGUGAAUCAUGGGAGUCGGAGUGAGGGCUGAUAGUGGGUGCAGGUGAAUUAUGGGAGUUGGAGUGAGGGCUGAUAGUGGGUGCAGGUGAAUUAUGGGAGUUGGAGUGAGGGCUGAUAGUGGGUGCAGGUGAAUUAUGGGAGUUGGAGUGAGGGCUGAUAGUGGGUGCAGGUGAAUUAUGGGAGUUGGAGUGAGGGCUGAUAGUGGGUGCAGGUGAAUUAUGGGAGUUGGAGUGAGGGCUGAUAGUGGGUGCAGGUGAAUUAUGGGAGUUGGAGUGAGGGAUGAUAGUGGGUGCAGGUGAACUAUGGGAGUUGGAGUGAGGGCUGAUAGUGGGUAAUGGUGAGUUACAGGAGUUGGGGUGAGGGCUGAUAAUGGGUGCAGGUGAAUUAUGGGAGUUUAAGUGAGGGCUGAUAGUGGGUGCAGGUGAAUCAUGGGA